UUCCGUAGGUGAACCUGCGGAGGGAUCAUUACACAAUAAAAUAUGAAGGCUGUACGCGGCUGUGCUCUCGGGCCAGUUUUGCGGAGGCUGAAUUAUUUAUUACCCUUGUCUUUUGCGCACUUGUUGUUUCCUGGGCGGGUUCGCCCGCCACCAGGACCACAUCAUAAACCUUUUUUAUGCAGUUGCAAUCAGCGUCAGUAUAACAAAUGUAAAUCAUUUACAACUUUCAACAACGGAUCUCUUGGUUCUGGCAUCGAUGAAGAACGCAGCGAAAUGCGAUACGUAGUGUGAAUUGCAGAAUUCAGUGAAUCAUCGAAUCUUUGAACGCACAUUGCGCCCUUUGGUAUUCCAAAGGGCAUGCCUGUUCGAGCGUCAUUUGUACCCUCAAGCUUUGCUUGGUGUUGGGCGUUUUUUGUCUUUGGUUGCCAAAGACUCGCCUUAAAAGGAUUGGCAGCCGGCCUACUGGUUUCGCAGCGCAGCACAUUUUUGCGCUUGCAAUCAGCAAAAGAGGACGGCAAUCCAUCAAGACUCCUUCUCACGUUUGACCUCGGAUCAGGUAGGGAUACCCGCUGAACUUAAGCAUAUCAAUAAGCGGAGG
rnacentral:rRNA from 1 species